GAUGAACGCUGGCGGCGUGCCUAAUACAUGCAAGUCGAGCGAACGGACGAGAAGCUUGCUUCUCUGAUGUUAGCGGCGGACGGGUGAGUAACACGUGGAUAACCUACCUAUAAGACUGGGAUAACUUCGGGAAACCGGAGCUAAUACCGGAUGAUAUUUUGAACCGCAUGGUUCAAAAGUGAAAGACGGUCUUGCUGUCACUUAUAGAUGGAUCCGCGCUGCAUUAGCUAGUUGGUAAGGUAACGGCUUACCAAGGCAACGAUGCAUAGCCGACCUGAGAGGGUGAUCGGCCACACGGGAACUGAGACACGGUCCAGACUCCUACGGGAGGCAGCAGUAGGGAAUCUUCCGCAAUGGGCGAAAGCCUGACGGAGCACCGCCGCGUGAGUGAUGAAGGUCUUCGGAUCGUAAAACUCUGUUAUUAGGGAAGAACAUAUGUGUAAGUAACUGUGCACAUCUUGACGGUACCUAAUCAGAAAGCCACGGCUAACUACGUG
rnacentral:rRNA from 1 species